CUGGAGCUGGCCCUGAUGCUGUAGAGGCUCAUGCACUAAGCUCCAGAGGUCCCAGGUUCAAUCCCACCCACCCACAACUGGGGACUGUUGGUGUUACACA